GCCAGGAUUGGCCGUUCGAAAGGACAUGCUGAGUGUUUGGUGAGAUUGGAAAGCAAUAAUUUACUAUGAUCUGCUCCACCCUGGUCGAAGGAUUGAUUCCACAUUUUAUUGUCAACAACUGAUGAGAUUGAAGCAAGCAAGAAAAAAACGACCAGAACUAAUCAAGAGGAAGCUUCGUCUUCCACAAGGACAACGCUAGACCACACACAUUCUUGAUGACUCGGCAGAAACUAGUAGAGCUUCGCUGGACAUGUACCCUUGACCUUGCACCAUUUGUUCUGGUCAAUGCAGAACUUUUUUAAUGGAGUGAAGUUGGCUUCAAGAGUAGCCUAUGAAAAUUACUUGCCGCAGUUUUUCGCCGAGACUUUUUCGACUACCAUAUAUAUUACCAACAUCACCACGAAGCUGAUCAUAGCGGUAUAAUUUAUAUAUAUUCACAUACAUAUUUAUUAUGUAUUUAGUUAUUCGUUUGUGUCAAUAAAUGAAAAGUUAAUAUAAAAUAUACAUAUGUACAUAUGUACAUAUAUAAAGGCAAUCAUAUUGCAAACAACCGGAAGCGAAUUUCAGAACAAUCUGAAAAUCGGUUGUUAGGAAUUGAUUGCAACAGUUGUGGAAGUCUUUGUUUAGGCGUUAUCAAAAUGGACAAUCAUAUUGACAAAAUGAUUUUGAAAAAACAUAUUGAAAACUUUACCAAGCUACUUUGUAGGUUUAUUGAAACUCUUGCGUAUAUUUUUCUCUGCAUUCCAAGAAUUAUCCACAGUCACCAAGCUUUCAUACUAUUAAGCAUAUCUAGAGACAAACACAUACAAGUAAUUAUUAUUUUAUUAUUUCAAAUCUCCCGAAUUUCACUUUUCAUCGAGUACUUUAAUCAAAAUACGCGCUCUCUAAUUUACUUGUACCUGGUUUUUUUUGUCCGACAUUUGAAUUCACCAUUUUUGUCACACAAACAUCUACUUACAUCUGAUAUCCCGAUUAUACGCAAUUGUUUCUUUUGAAAUAGACCAGCAUCAGUUAAAAAUAAUAAUAUUCUGCAGUUAUCGCUUUAACACCUCCUCUUGCUCUCAUUUACGAAAUAUUUAAUUUCUAUUAUCUUGCUUCAUUUUUAGAGAAAUAUUUCGAAUAUUCUACAGAUAGCUCAUCCAAGUAAGAUUUCAGCUAUGGGAUAAGAAACUUUUAUGUGAAAAAUGUAUGAACAAUCGAUUAAUAUUUAAUAUGUUCUAAGGUUUUGCUGUGUCUAAGAUUAGCUUUGCUUGCUUGUAGCUAUACAUAUUCAAACUUUUUGUUUUUAUUUAAUUAUUGAUUUCCUAAUAUUUAAAUCAAACAUAACUAUUUUUGCUUAAAUUUUUAGUUCUUUAUAUAAUAUAUUAUAAAUAAACGUAUACCAUAUUUUUGUGACCAUAAGUUGUUGUGAGGCUCCCAAUUUCCCUUAACUUCCCAUCAUUAAAUCUGUGAAUCAUAUUAAAUUUAACAGAAAAGUACAUUUUGACGGAUGUAUGUACAUAUUUGCAUAUUUCUUAUCCGCAAGAGAUCUGUUGUUGAUGAACUAAUGUGUGGUAUAUAUAAAUUAGAAAUAAAUAUAGUCAGUAUAGAAAUCAUUAAUCAUAAAA
rnacentral:lncRNA from 1 species